rnacentral:lncRNA from 1 species
AUCUGGUCCCGGCACGCCUCGCGCAGGUUGCGCAUCCAGCGCUGGAUGCCGCGGCGGUUUAGGUAGAGCACCAUGAGGAAGAUGAGGCCGAUGAGUGCCAGCACCAGCCCGAAGAACACGUAGGAGGCUUCCAGCUCCGGGCCGGCGGCCUCCGCCUCCUCUCCGCGAGCGUCGGCGCCGCUGUCCGCGCAGCGAAGCCGCGCCCCGUCCAGGUCCAGUAGCGGCCGGUCUAGCAGCGCCCGCGGGGCGGCGCAGCGCAGGCGCCGCGAGUCGGGCACGCGCUCCGUGGCGUUGCGCAGCCAGGCCAGCAGGGGGCGUGCGGCACAGCCGCAGCGCAGGGGGUUGUCGGCGAGCAGCAGGCGCGGCCCGGGGAGGCCGCCAUCGCGCUCCAGCGCGCGCAGCUCGUCGGGGUCCAGGCCGGCCAGCGCGUUGAGGCGCACGUCCAGCUGCUCCAGGCGCGCCAGGCGCAGGGCGGCUGGCGGCAGACGGCUCAGCGCGUUGCCCGCUAGGCCCAGCAGGCGAAGCUCGGCCAGCGGUGCCAGCGCAGCGUCCAGCGCGGCCAGCAGCGCGGGGCCGCCGCGCACCAGCGCGUGGUUGAGCUGCAGCGAGCGCAGCGCGGGCAGCCCGCGGAAGGCGCCGCCGCCCAGGGCGCGCAGCGGGUUGUGGCUGAGGUCGAGCGCCGCCAGGCUGGGCAGCCCGUCGAAGGCGCCGUCCUCCACCACCUCGAUGUGGUUGUGCGUGAGGCGCAGCGCGCUCAGGAGCGGCAGGCGCACGCCCGCCGCCUGGUCGCCGUCCCCGUCCCCGCCGGCGAAGGCGGCCGCGCGCAGCACCGUCAGGUUGGCGCCUACGAUGGUGAGGUUGCGCGCGUCGGGCGGCACGUCCCGCGGAGGCUGGCGGAGCUCGGCUCCCGACGCGCAGCGCAGCAGCAGCUUGGGGCCGCCGAAGCAGUAGCACUGGAAGGGGCAGGGUGCCGCGGGCUGGCUCAGCGCCGCCGCCACGAGCAGCAGCCCCUGGAGCCCCGGCUGUCCCGCGCGCGGGGCCAUCGCGGCCGCCCCCGCAUCCAGCGCCCGGGCCGCCGCGCUCACCAGUGAGUUGGGAGCGCCUGGUGGGGGGCACGGGUGGGGCGAGUCCUUGACCCGGAGCGGCUGGCAGUCCCGGUCGGUCCGUUCGCUGUCUCGAAAGUCUGAGGAGCCGCACUUACUGGCUGACUGGCCGGGGGCAAGAGGGGUCAGACGGGGAGCGGAGCCCCCCGCCCCCGGUGCCCUCGCCCUGCGCGCCGGCCUCCGGCUUCCGCGGCCGCUCCGGGCUCCGAGCCGAGUGGGCAGGGUUUGCCUCCCCCCUCCCCGCCUCCCGGUCUCGUCCUCCGCCCCCAGCGGAGUCUCCGCGCCCUCCUCGCCGUGGGAGGCGGGGUGGGAGGCUCCCGAGAAUCAGGGCUGUCGGCUGCUGCGCUUUCUCUUCAUCCUCUCCGCCCCCGCCCCUCCGGGCUGCCGAGAAGUUUGGCUCCUGGAGGCUCCGACUUGGUUUUCCUCCUCCUCCACCCCCAACAUUUAAGCUGGGUCCUUCCUCCUCCUUCUCCAGCACGUGUGGGGCGGGGCCCGACUGCGGAGAGCAGGCAGGGGCACCACCAACACUUAAGCCUCCAUCUUCAGGCAAGAAAGUCUGUGAUAUGAAUGAAGGGAUCAUAAAAGGCACAUGGAAUCAAAGCUUUUGGUCAACUGCCAACAAGGUACAGAGGCCCAACAGCAAUCAUCGAAUGAACUUGGAAGUGGAUCCUCUCACCCCAGUUGAGCCUUCUGAUGACUGCAGCCCUGGCUGAUGCUUGACUACAACUUCAUCAGAAAUCCUCAUGAAGAUCCAGCACCUUCCAGUUAGCCCAUCUAUGAGAAAACCAAUGCUCCGAUGAGUGCAGUGACUUCCCAUGCCUGUGGAGAGUCUAUGCCUUUGAUUGGAUCCCCAGAGGUGGUUUUCACUUGCCCCCCAUUGCCUAUACCAUGUUGCCUUCCUGGAGUUGGUGGCCUUUGAGCUGGGCCUGGAAGAUUGGGUAGGACUUUAUGAAGUGGGGAUGGAGAGACAAGCUGUGCGAUGGGGAUGAAGAAGAUAACCCAGGUCAGAGGGAACAGCAUAAGCAAAGAUCUUGGCUCAACCAAGAGGCGGACUCACCGUGAUGUGAAUGCAGCUUGAGCAUCCAGGACUCUCCCCAGAUCCAGGGAGGGCCUCAGCGAUGUGUUCACGUUGUCAUAUUUUUAUAAAAUUUGCAAAGGUAAGAUACUUUAACCACAAUCAAAAUUACUAUUUUCUUCCCACUCCAACUUCCCUUGUGUUUCAAUUUUCCUUUAUGUGGGAUAAUUGGAGUGGCCAUGGGCACUUCUGGGAUCUGACCAAGGGGAAGCUGAGUGGGGGACUGAUUUGAGUUGGGUUCACUGGGAUAUGUUUAUGUGGUUUUCUGAAACAGAGGAUAUAUUAAUAUUUAUGUGGUUCUCUGUGUAUAGAUAAAUCAUUGCUAGUAAUCUCUGUGUAGAGAAUAGCUUCUAGGAAUUCUACCCACUGCCCAGCUCACUUGGCAUGGUGAUAUUAAGUUGCCAUAUGCAGAGGUCAUAUCGUGAUAUGAAUGUGUGUCAUGGCACCCAGCCCAGGAAGUAUAUGGGCAGUAGACAAGAAACAGGAGAAACCAGGUUUGAAAUGUACAGAGCCAGAAGCUAGUCUGUGGAAAAUUCUUCUAAUCAUCAGGGGGAGAAAAUGUGUCUCAGAGGUUAAGCAGGGCAGUUAAUAAAAGUAUUACGCAUUUUGGGGGGAUUGUGUGAUGUAUCUGUUUUGAUUUCUUUUCUCAUUAUAGGUAAAUAUAGGUACCUUGUACCUAAUUUUAUAUUCAUAAUUUUGUAUAUUUUUCUUAAAGAGGGCUCCUCAAAUUAUAAAACCUUCAGUUCCCACAAGGUCUACACAUCCAACCUUGGCUCCAUCAUUUAUUUUCUGUGUGAUCUUGGGGAAGUCACUUGUGCUUUCUGAGCCAGUUUCCUCUUCUAUAAAAUGUGAA